UACGAAGGGGGCUAGCGUUGCUCGGAAUCACUGGGCGUAAAGCGCACGUAGGCGGCUCGUUAAGUCGGGGGUGAAAUCCUGGAGCUCAACUCCAGAACUGCCCUCGAUACUGACGAGCUCGAGUCCGGGAGAGGUGAGUGGAACUGCGAGUGUAGAGGUGAAAUUCGUAGAUAUCGCAAGAACACCAGUGGCGAAGGCGGCUCACUGGCC
rnacentral:rRNA from 1 species